CUCUUCUCCUCUUCAAUUAGAGUUAGAGAUUGAGAUGAAUUUGUGAGAGAUUCGGAUCCGGGAAAGGAGGCCCUUCUCUCCUUAUGACCUACGGACGUUUAUUGUGAACCAAUUUCUUGCUUUGUGCGGUCUCCUUUUGUUUCCCUGUGAAUCUCGGGUGGCUCUUUUGUGCGUUGUUCCUCCCUUUCUUGCGCAGGAUUCCUUGGUGGAGGGAAGCUCUAGAGCAGAGCAGUUCAGCGCAGGCAGCAGUAGGCACCAGCUCCCGCACGGUGCAGCAGAGCCUGCAGCGCGUGCGGCCGCAGAGCGGCGCUGCAAGGGGGCGGCCCUGCCUCGGCGCGCAGGAACCCUGCAGCAGGGACUCGCGUGGGAGGGGGCGCCCAGGCAGCUAGCGGGUGCAGGCCUGAAGGAGCUGUGCUGCGGGGGUGCAACACUGAUUCAGCCAGCAACCAGCGCAGGAGCAAGGGAAGGCCAAGCAGUGCAGCGCUAGCUGCAACGGAGGCGCAGUGCAGGAUGAUUUGGGUAUUCAGGUGAUUCGGAGCAGCAGCAAGUUCAGUUCUUUUGUGAUUUGCCUUGGCAUUCGUGUGUGCUUUGAUAAUUUUGCAGGCAAUUGGAAUCGUGUGCAUGCUCAGGAAAAUUCAUGGUAGAACUCCGGUGGUCUGCGGUGAGCUUCAUCGACACCCAUAAGAGACAAAGCGCAAAUAACGCACUACGGAGAUUGAAAAUAUAUAUUGAGAUGUGUGAACGCAGAAGUUUUAGCCCACACAUGCAUGCAACUGCUGGGAUGCAACCUCUGAGAUAGAUACAACUUUAGAGCAAAGUUGAUUUGCCCUUUGGAAUCAAGACACGUGCGUGCCUUUGUGCCUUCGAGAAGCCAGAUCGAUGAUGUGGAGCAUCGGUGCCUCAUAGCAAGAUUUUUGUUGAUGGAAUUAGCUAGCCUUGCGGCCAUAUAUAACUAGUAAUAAGUAUGUAAAAAACAAACAGAUUCAUUCUAGUAAUGAGUUGUUCUGGCUGCUGCUUCUGCGUAUUUUAAGGAUGUUAAUCAAAUUGAUGUUGCCAUUAGAGGCGGCAAACAUUACAAAAUUACUUGGUGAAAUUUUAGUUUGAAUUUCAAAAUUUAUGAGAUAGAAGUCAAUUAUUGACCA